UACGUAGGGUGCGAGCGUUUGUCCGGAAUUACUGGGCGUAAAGAGUUCGUAGGCGGUUUGUCGCGUCGUUCGUGAAAACUUGGGGCUUAACUCCAAGCGUGCGGGCGAUACGGGCAGACUUGAGUACUACAGGGGAGACGUGGAAUUCCUGGUGUAGCGGUGAAAUGCGCAGAUAUCAGGAGGAACACCGGUGGCGAAGGCGGGACUCUGGGCCGAUACUGACGCUGAGGAGCGAAAGCGUGGGGAGCAAACAGG
rnacentral:rRNA from 1 species